rnacentral:lncRNA from 1 species
ACUCAUUAUUAGAUGUCGCCAGGGUCACCGAUGUUGUUCUUUCAUGGUGAAACGAGGCGAAAUGAGCGAAACAAAUUGUUGCUAAUUUAUACUUAUUCCUGUGAUUUCAAAUACCAAUUUAACUUCGUAUCUUAAUAUAUGCAUACUGUCAGUUCCAACAAGUUGACUUAGUGCUCAGUCAAUUUCCAUCCAUUAGAUCCUCAUGCUGUCAAAAGCCUAAAACUCAUGUUUGAAGAGCACAUAUAGUGGAAUAUAAAUGUGCCGAGAUAAGGAUCUUUUCUGAAUCUCGCAAUUUUGGUGGCGUACCCUGUAACAGCAUGUUUGUUGUUAUGGCUGUUUUUAUUUUGGUUUAGAAGGCAACCCAGCUAAGAGAUAGAGUUUCAGUGACAUGAAGAGUGUGAAGUGAACCACCUAUCACCACAAUACUGCAAUA